rnacentral:tRNA from 1 species
GCGGGCAUGGUCUAGUGGCUAUGACGUCUGCCUAACACGCAGAAGAUCCCCGGUUCGAUCCCCGGUGCCCGUA